rnacentral:rRNA from 1 species
ACGAAGGGGGCUAGCGUUGUUCGGAAUUACUGGGCGUAAAGCGCACGUAGGCGGAUUGUUAAGUCGGGGGUGAAAUCCUGAGGCUCAACCUCAGAACUGCCUUCGAUACUGGCGAUCUUGAGUUCGGAAGAGGUUGGUGGAACAGCUAGUGUAGAGGUGAAAUUCGUAGAUAUUAGCUAGAACACCAGUGGCGAAGGCGGCCAACUGGUCCGAUACUGACGCUGAGGUGCGAAAGCGUGGGGAGCAAACAGGA